rnacentral:rRNA from 1 species
CUACGGGGGGCAGCAGUGAGGAAUUUUGCGCAAUGGGGGGAACCCUGACGCAGCAACGCCGCGUGAGUGAUGAAGGCUUUCGGGUCGUAAAGCUCUGUCAAGUGGGAAGAACCUAUGCAGUGUUAAUAUCACUGUAUACUGACGGUACCACUGAAGGAAGCACCGGCUAACUCCGUGCCAGCAGCCGCGGUAAUACGGGGGGUGCAGGCGUUAUUCUGAAUCAUUGGGCGUAAAGGGCACGUAGGCGGCUUGGUAAGUCAGAUGUGAAAGCCCGGGGCUUAACCCCGGAAGUGCAUUUGAUACUGUCAGGCUUGAGUAUGGGAGAGGGAAGUGGAAUUCCUGGUGUAGAGGUGAAAUUCGUAGAUAUCAGGAGGAACACCGGUGGCGAAGGCGACUUCCUGGACCAAUACUGACGCUGAGGUGCGAAGGCGUGGGUAGCAAACAGGAUUAGAUACCCGAGUAGUC